rnacentral:tRNA from 1 species
GGUAGCUUGGCACAGCGGUUAAGAGCUUGGCUGCUAACCAAAAGGUCAGCAGUUUGAAUCCACUAGCUGCUC